ensembl:lncRNA
CGCCCGCAGCCAGCGCAUCCCUGUGCCCAAUUCUCCACUGCCUUAUUUUGCACCAUAUAUGGGCUGAAUGCAGAGAAGUCCUUUCAUUGACUGCACCAAGACUGACUUCGCAUGAGCUGCUCGGCAAGGAGGCAGAAAAGCAUCACCCUCUGUGCUACCCACCAAAUUAGAGGAAAAGAUGAGGAGUGACUCAUUCUAAGCUUUUUCAUCUCCCCAGGCAUCCUCUCUUUAUCUUCUCUCUCCCUCGUCUUACACACACUUAACUUUCACCCAGUGCUGCAGCAGAGAUUUGCAGCUUUGCAUCAGGCAGCCAGCUCAGCACAGCCACCACGUCUGCAUUUACUCCUCAGGACAGUGCCCAACCCAAGCUCAUGCUGGGAAGCAGCUGGAGUUUGGCACAAACCCUGCAGAGCUGGGCAUCAGGGCACAGCCAUACUUCAUUGACAGCACUACACACUCAUUUCUGCACUGUUGCACCCCUCCUGAACCCUCCCAGCCUGGCACCACAUCUCUCUUCUGUCAAAAGGCCAGAUUUUGGCUGCUGCUUUGCUCUCCAUGGAGAAACUUUCCUUUUAAUCUCAAUAAAGCCUACAGGAUUUAAGCCCAACCAACACAGAUAAAUCAUUGGCUUUGGCCUAAAAGUGAGCCAAUUUAGCCUUGGCAGAUUUGCUCUGUCAGAGGUCACCGAGAAGCUGAUUUACUAAAGACACUUGCUUUUUCUUGGCCUUGUGGUCAAAAUCAAGUCCCUCAGUGACACUUUUACUUGCUGUUUGUCUUGCUGUUCUUUUAUGAGGGAAACCACUAUGCUUCCGAGAGGAGGAAGAGGUGAAGUGGUGCCAUAACUUUGCUAUCACUGAAGAUGGCUGCAGAAGAGCCUGACAGAAGAGAUCACUUUCUCAGCAGCAGAUCUUUGACACAACUGAGGCAAGCUAUGGACCAGAGCUUCCCUCCUCCCCAGAUGAUUCCUGCAACAAGAUCAAUGGAGGAUUAUUCCUCUGAACCAGGUGGGGAAGGAAUGUGAAGUACACUGUUUCCCAUCUUCACCUUCUGGCUUUUCUGGCUACCCCGCUUUUAUGAUAGUGAUAAUAAAGAAAACACUGACAAUUUACGACUUUAAUGAAUAUCAGGUAAUUCCACACUACUAGAGAAGCACUUGGGUUCUCUGCAUCCUUUUUGCUGUGCCCCACCAAGCUUGGAUACCCUGAAACACUG